UACGGAGGGUGCGAGCGUUGUCCGGAAUCACUGGGCGUAAAGGGCGCGUAGGCGGCAUGCCAAGCGUGUGGUGAAAGCCCGGGGCUCAACCCCGGGUCGGCCGUGCGGACUGGCGUGCUCGAGCACUGUAGGGGCGGGUGGAAUUCCGGGUGUAGCGGUGGAAUGCGUAGAGAUCCGGAAGAACACCGGUGGCGAAGGCGGUUAGCUGGGCAGUUGCUGACACUGAGGCGCGACAGCGUGGGGAGCAAACAGG
rnacentral:rRNA from 1 species